CAUGAACUCACCGUAGUUUGUUUACGUGUAUAACGUUCUCUGACUUUCUAAGACGUGUUUCAUGCCACUUCUUUUUCCGUCUCAUUUUGUCCACCAAACUUUUAAGCUUGUGCAUGAAUGCACAAAGGUGGUGUCUUCUGCAUUGAUGCUUUUUCAAGAAAUUCUCAAACCAAUUGACUCAAGAGAUUCCACGACGCAUGAGGUUUCUUGCGACCAUCACAAGCAGCCGCCAUCUUGUCCUUGCAGCGUCUUCACCGUCGUACCCUCCAUCCAUCCAUUUUCUACCGCUUAUUCCCUUUUUUUGGGGUCGCGGGGGGCGCUGGCGCCUAUCUCAGCUACAAUCGGGCGGAAGGCGGGGUACACCCUGGACAAGUCGCCACCUCAUCGCAGGACCGUCGUACCAGUAAGC